CAGCAGCCGCGGUAAUACGAAGGGGGCUAGCGUUGCUCGGAAUCACUGGGCGUAAAGGGUGCGUAGGCGGGCUAUUAAGUCAGGGGUGAAAUAUUGCAGCUUAACUGGGAAAUUGCCUUUGAUACUGGUAGUCUUGAGUUCGAGAGAGGUAAGUGGAACUGCGAGUGUAGAGGUGAAAUUCGUAGAUAUUCGCAAGAACACCAGUGGCGAAGGCGGCUUACUGGCUCGAAACUGACGCUGAGGCGCGAAAGCGUGGGGAGCAAACAGGAUUAGAUACCCGGGUAGUCCCUGUCUCUUAUAA
rnacentral:rRNA from 1 species